AGGAGGCCUGAUCUGACUGGGUCCUGCCAUGAGGUGACAGCAGAGCCUGAUCUGAUUGGAUUCUGGAUCCUGCCGUGUGAUACCUGCUUCUCCAUUCAGUCCCCACUCCUUGGUCUGAGCACUUAGGGUGCCCCCAGAAGUUGCAAGCUUGGUUCAUCUGAGCAUGCUUAGGUUACAUGAGCAGAGGGUUUGUGGCAGCUGAGAAACAAUUGACAACUUUGUUACAUAAAAGUUGAACCAAAUUGUUCAUUGGACAGGCUUGCCCCAGAGGGACAAUGAGGUUAUAAUUUUUCCUUAAACUUGAUGAAGAACCUACUAGAUGAAUUUUUAAAAAUGAGUAAUUGAUGGGAUUUAAUUCUUUUAACCUUAAACACUUAGGUGUACUUGCCAGGCUCCAGAGACGCACAGUUAUAUUGGCCUUCCUUCCUGCACCCCCAUGGAGCCCCCAAACUAAUGAGAAUUAGAGUUGUAUAAACAAAUAAUUACUAUAUAAUGUAAUAAGUGGAAUCUAUAUGAUGAAGGGCACAGAGAAGAGAAUGGAGACUUUCCUGGUGAAAAUCGGGACAGGAGGAGGUGACAGUGGAGCCCUGUCUUAAAGAAUGAGAGGAAUCUUCAUCUUUUGGAAGAGUGUUACAUGCCAGUCUGAAAAGCAUCUGGAGGCAUGAUUGUUUUAGGUGGGGGAAAUUGGGACCAAGACUUAAGGCCACUGGGCUAAAUUCUGGUCACAGGAUUUGGCCCCGGACCCAUCUACACCAUAUCCCAGUCCAGGGAAUACGCUCAGCUUUCCCAUAGAUUCAAGGUGGAUCUCACACCUGCCUACCUAUGCUAGGGGCAGAAAUACAAACCCACCUUUCCCAGGAUAAGAUGGGCUGCUGGUCUCCUUCCUGUUUAGUCCCCUUCCUAGGUAGACAUACGCAAUCUCCUCACCCUCUCACCCCACCUCCCAAUGUUCAGCACCAGAGAUCUGAAAAAUCAACUUAGGUCAAUAAAUAGUUGUCUCAGUGGGGCUCCUCACAUUGUGACAAUGAACUUUGCCUUUAGUUUUCUGGUAAAUACUGAGAACAUGUUGAUUUUAUCAUUUGGGGGGAAAAAGCAAGCCCCCCCCAAACAACUUAUAACACAUUUUAUUCCAUUUUUCUAGUGUGAAAUGAAAAUAUGAAUGUGCCUUCUAGGAACUGUAUUCCUAACUGCUUUUUAUUGACAACAGUGGCUUAAAUAAAUCAGCAAUUUAGUCUCUCAAAUCAAAGAAGUCUGGAGUCGGACAGUUAAGAAGUGGUGCAGCAGCUCCAUUAUGUUAUCAGGGACUCAGCCUCCUUUUAUCUUUCUGCCACA
rnacentral:lncRNA from 1 species